rnacentral:rRNA from 1 species
UUGUCCUGUGACUGCGUACCUUUUGUAUAAUGGGUCAGCGACUUAUAUUCAGUGGCAAGGUUAACCAUCUAGGGGAGCCGUAGGGAAACCGAGUCUUAACUGGGCGUUCAGUCUCUGGAUAUAGACCCGAAACCAGGUGAUCUAGCCAUGGGCAGGUUGAAGGUUGAGUAACAUCAACUGGAGGACCGAACCGACUAAUGUUGAAAAAUUAGCGGAUGACUUGUGGCUAGGGGUGAAAGGCCAAUCAAACCUGGAGAUAGCUGGUUCUCCCCGAAAGCUAUUUAGGUAGCGCCUCGGACGAAUACUACUGGGGGUAGAGCACUGUUAAGGCUAGGGGGUCAUCCCGACUUACCAACCCUUUGCAAACUCCGAAUACCAGUAAGUACUAUCCGGGAGACACACGGCGGGUGCUAACGUCCGUCGUGGAGAGGGAAACAACCCAGACCGCCAGCUAAGGUCCCAAAUUACUACUAAGUGGGAAACGAUGUGGGAAGGCUCAGACAGCCAGGAUGUUGGCUUAGAAGCAGCCAUCAUUUAAAGAAAGCGUAAUAGCUCACUGGUCGAGUCGGCCUGCGCGGAAGAUGUAACGGGGCUAAGUAGUAAACCGAAGCUGCGGCAAUA